UCUCCAUUUCGUUUUACUUCAUACUAUUAGCAAAAAAUAUUAAAUUUUUUGUUUGUCUUAGUAAUUUUAGCCUAAUUUAAAUAUUAGUUGAUGAACUUCCAAUAGAUUAGAAUACAAUGAAUUCUCUCAACUCACAAUAUUUACAUAUUUACGCAAAUUUUUAAUAAUCAUUUUGAUUGAUCAUUUUGUACCCUGCCAGGCAGCAAAAAUUUAGGCGAUGUGUUUUUAUUCGUUUGCUUCUCCCUAUUUUUGAUUUGUUGUGACAACCCACGUGACAAUUGAAAUCCGACUCUGACUGACAUGACGUGACAAUAAAAAAUACAACACAAUAGUCAUUACCUCCUAUUACUACGAAACUAAUAGAAAACUUUAAAAAUGUAUUUCAAAUUGUGUGUUUUCCUCUUUACGUUGCUGAGUGUAACUAGGGUGGAAGCGUCGCAAGGAUACGAUUUCGGCGACUUUUUAGCAACAGUUAUAGGACUUGGUAUUGCUGGUAUAGGAAUCCUUGCAUGUUUGGGCAAAUACGCAAGACAGCAAGCAAGAAAUGAAUUUAUUUAAAAUGUUCUGAUGUCGGGGUGUGGAGCAUGGAUAUCAAAAGACAAGAUAAAAUAAAACAAUGGAAACGCGGCUGUUCAAACAAAAGUAGCAUGAACACAUUUCGGCUAUGAUUAUAAUUAAUAUUCUGUAUAAUUAUGUCUGACAAGAAAAAAACAUAUUUUUGCACUGUAAUCAAUCCUAAAUAUGUAAAAUAAGUAACUAGUAACUUUAGCUAUAAGGAUAUUUUUUGUAUAAAUGUAAGUCUGUUUUCAGAUAACAUUUUGUACUACAAUGUAUAAUAGUAAUACAUUUGACCUUCCAAUAAUCUAUUGAAAAUCAUUUUCAAGAAUCCAAUACUUUAUGGUAUUUUCAGAUCUGAAAACAUAUUCCUUAUAAUGUUAUGUGAUAUCUAUUUAUAUGACCAAAAUAUUAUGCUUAUGUGUUUAGAUCAUUUUCUUCCUUUCUAUUUGUUAACUUUCUAGAUAUUAUUAAAUAUUUCUUUUAUAAUGUGA